rnacentral:rRNA from 1 species
UACGUAGGGAGCAAGCGUUGUUCGGAUUUACUGGGCGUAAAGGGCGCGUAGGCGGCAAAUUAAGUCAGCUGUGAAAUCUCCGAGCUUAACUCGGAACUGUCAGCUGAUACUGAUCUGCUAGAGUGCGGAAGGGGCAAUCGGAAUUCUUGGUGUAGCGGUGAAAUGCGUAGAUAUCAAGAGGAACACCUGAGGUGAAGACGGGUUGCUGGGCCUUACCUGACGCUGAGGAGCGAAAGCGUGGGGAGCGAACAGG